GACGAACGCUGGCGGCGUGCUUAACACAUGCAAGUCGAACGCUGAAGCUCAGCUUUUGUUGGGUGGAUGAGUGGCGAACGGGUGAGUAACACGUGAGUAACCUGCCCCCUUCUUUGGGAUAACGCCCGGAAACGGGUGCUAAUACUGGAUAUUCACUGGUCUUCGCAUGGGGGUUGGUGGAAAGGGUUUUUCUGGUGGGGGAUGGGCUCGCGGCCUAUCAGCUUGUUGGUGGGGUGAUGGCCUACCAAGGCUUUGACGGGUAGCCGGCCGGGGAGGGUGACCGGUCACAUUGGGACUGAGAUACGGCCCAGACUCCUACGGGAGGCAGCAGUGGGGAAUAUUGCACAAUGGGCGCAAGCCUGAUGCAGCGACGCCGCGUGAGGGAUGGAGGCCUUCGGGUUGUGAACCUCUUUCGCUCAUGGUCAAGCCGCAACAAUGGUUGUGGUGAGGGUAGUGGGUAAAGAAGCGCCGGCUAACUACGUG
rnacentral:rRNA from 1 species